rnacentral:misc_RNA from 1 species
GUGGAUCAUCGAAUUUUUGAACGCAAAUUGCACUCUCUUCGGAGAGUAUGCCUGUUUGAGGGUCAGCCUAAAAAAAAUCGCCGUAGUCGCUGUUUCGCGGUGGCUUUUGUCGGAAAUUGGGUCAUCUUAAACCUUUGGGUUUUUGAAGCGGCUUAAAAUUGUCUUUACGAUUCAACGAACUUUUCUAAGCUUUUACUUAUUACACACGUAUAAGGAAUCGAUCUUUAUUAGACGUGGCCGUUG